UACACCGCUGCUGCAACCAUGAACCCAUGAAACCGUGACUGACUGCAGAAAACCUGGCACGAGACCACGCAGGACACCAGCACAGUGUCAGACGAGCUCCAGCCUUUCUCCAGACUGAUGAGCUGUCAGUCAGCCUUGGGCAGCUGCUGGGGAGAAAGAAUCAAGCCACAGGUCCUGGGCUCCAUCCAGCGAAUGGCUCCACAGCGAUGCGGCACUGGCAGGCAGCACUAACUACUCAGCCUUGGUGGCGAAGGGAGAGGACAGGGUAGUAAGAGAUGUGCUGCCAGGAGCUGGAGGGAGAAAUUGAGAGGCCUGGCUGUCCUGGAACCAACUACACUGACCAUGCUGGCCUCUUAACUCAAGACAUCCACCCACCCCUGCAUCCCAAGUGCUGGGUUAAAGGCACGCACCAGCACACCUAAGCCUGGCACACAAUAUGCCUGUGCUCCACAUGCAUGCCUGGUGUCUGCAUGCUGUCAGAAGAAAGCAUCAGAUCCCCUUGGAACUGGAGUUACAGGCAUUUGAAACCAAUGGCACCAAAAGAAAAUCAUUCCAGAUCGUUUAUGCUGACAAUAAUUUAAAGUGCCAAACAAGGAGAAACAGACUGCUCAGCUGCUCCCGCGGGGACCUGUGCUCAGCCCCCGAGACCAAUGAGGCGGCUCAGACCCUGCCCAAACUCCACCUCCAUCAUCUGUGAGGCUACUGAAGAGGCUACUCACAUGCGUGUGCACCGACAUGCAAAACACACACAUAAGUAGGAGAUCGCAGAGAAAAGUAACAAACUAAUUCACUGCAUAGUUUGCUUUCAUAAUUAUAAAAAAUAUUUUCCAAAAGUGUUUACUCAAAAUCCUAUUUAAAGAAACUUGAUUAAAUUAUUACUGAAUAGUUUAACAACAACAAUAAGCAGCCCUGGACUAUUAAAAAGAGAUGUAUACUAUGUUAUUUUAAUAGGCCUGAACGAGGAAGGCUCGAUAUUAUUUCAAUUUUUAAAGGUCUGUUUAUGAAAUGCAAUCAUCUUCCAUUAAAAAUGCAAGCUGUGCUUCAGCCAGAAGCUCCUCGUAAUGGUUCACAGGAGGCCGCUCUCUGCUAUCACCUCCUCCCCUGGGAGCGUCCUUCCGGUGUGUCAUCAAAGCACUCAAGCUAUUAUUAAGUCCGCUUCCCCGGGAUAAAGGAGGAAAAGUCUAAAAUAGAUGAAUGAAAUACACUGUCCCAAUCCCUCACAACUGCCUCUUCUACUUGACUGAUUUAUAUCUUUUUCAGUCAAAAGCAAGAUUAUUUCUUUAUAUUCUGCAUUGUUGGAAUCAUUUAUUUUCAUGGGCCAGAUUAUUAAUAGUAUUCAAAGUGAGAAAUUCAGAAUUUUUAAAGUUAGAGGUUUUGAUUCACUUUUUCUGGUAUUUUUAUACGAGAGUUCUUUUGGCUGAAAUUUUUAAAAAUUUACCUUUUACAUGGUGGGUUUUAAAAUGUUCACUUAUCAAAGUCAAGACACUCCAAAUUGAAAUUCAAUUCUCUCAUAUUUAAAAAUGCUAAUGCAAAUGGAUCUUUUAAUGCAGCAGCAUCUGGCUCAUUACAACAUUUGGUUUGAACUAAUAAAUCCUUAAUUAUUAAAUCCUGGUGUUCAAUUUCUUUCACACAGAUAAGCGAAACACAUACUGCUACAAUUACAAAUACCUAGUAUAAAUUACUUACACAUGGAAAAGCCUUUCUGUUGACGCUCUGGCUGUUCAAUAAGAACACAAGUAUCUCGGGGAAACACAUAGCUCAAAAUUCACCAUUAAACAUUUGAGCCCUGGUAUAGGGAGGUGCCAGAGUGACUGACGGAGCAAAUAUUUGACACUGCUGGGCACUCAAGCAUAAUACACAGAGCAGUAUGUCUGCCUGUGCAAAUGAGCCACUUUUGUUUUUCCUGAGCAGGAUUCCAUAAUAAACAUGUCAAAGUGGAAUAUUACCAUAUACCCUAAUUCUGGCUUUCCAAAGCAAACAUGCCCUCCACCCCACCUUGUGUUUUAUUAAAGUUUUUCUCCUGAAGGUAUGUGAUCAAGGUUAGUGCAUCAUGAUGUCUCAAAGGCCAGAAUCCCGAGAGAACAUGCUUGGUUUUAAGCCUUAAUGCAUGGUUGGGGGAGGGGACUGUUUUGCACUCCAGCCCCCAGAACAACGCCCCCAUCCCUACAAUUCCUUUUUCUUUUUUAAUCAGCAACAUCUGACAGUACUGACUGAAUAUUUUACAAUGGAGUUGCAGAAUGUGUGUGUUUAAUCGUUAGGCUUCCCAGAAGAUUCAUUACAGUUACAUUAGAAAGUCAAAUCAGGCAAUUCUGCAGUCUGGUGAAAGCUAGCAUAUGAAAGAAGGUUAAUACAAAAGAAUUUCAUUUUAAAUAGAGGGCAUUUAGGACCUUAAAAAGCAACAUUAUUAUAAAAAUUUCAAGAUAUUAUUUUGGUGUGAACCAAGCUUUACAGAUCUAGUUCCAGAGAUGUCCAAAAUGCUGUUCUAUGAAAGGCACACAGAGUAGAGGCUGUGAUCUGCAAACAUCUGCCAUAUCAAAGGAUCCUCUUGCUAGGAACACAGAGAAAAAUGUUUUGCCCUCACCCCAGGGAACAAGCCCUCAGUUCUGGUGAUGCUGAUAAAGUGGUAUCAGGAAAUAGUCAAAGCAUCCCGUGUCCAUACAAAGCACUACAAUGAUUUACACUGAUUUUGAUAAAAGUGAAGAUUUUUUAGCUCUAGGACAUAUUUCUGUAACAAAAAUCAAUUGGUUAAUUGUUUAUUGUUUAUAUCUGUAAAAUACAUACACACAUACAUAUAGCACGAGAAGCCCAGUGUUGUGUUUAACUGGUAUUUGUGUGUUAGUUUCCUCUCUCUAGAUUUCAUGCUUCAACAAACCCCUAACUGAUCUCAUUUAUGUGAUUUGUUUCUACUCCUUUGUGAGUAACCAAAGAUGAAAACCGAGUGCCUACUGAAAUAAAAGCCUCUUCACUUAACACAGAUGAUUUACAGAAUACAGUUUCCAGUUCAAUACAAAGACUCGCCCUUGCAUGAACAAUUUAAAACCCAAAUAGCAUGGCAAGAAAAUCUAACAGCAUUAGUAGCAAACAUGCCAGGUUUUAGGGCUAGCCCUGUCGGCAUACAGAUAGACUCUGCAGACCACGGGCUGCGCUUAAUUUAAUAUUGAGCUAAACACAGUCAGCACAUCUGGUGCAUCCGGAUGGUUAUCAGGAAACACUAAAUCUGACUUUACACACAAUCUCAUUCACUCGUCUAUUUCUACUCCCAUUUUACCUUAAACGCAAACUGAAAACUUACGUUUCCUUUUGUUCUUCAUUUCCUAGCAGUCUUCUAAUUGUUGACAGAUGGACAGACAGGCAGGUUUUGUAGAAUUUGGUUUUUACACAAUUUGGAGUGCAUACUUCAAGGGUGGGGAAAAACAACCUACGAAUGUAGUACAUAAGAUGUCAAGGGGCCCAUGCAGUGAAGAUGCCUCUGCUUUGGGCUUCCUUCAGGCCCUCCACUUCCAGGGAGUAUAAAAGGCAACGUAAGCGUCUGGAAUGGGGUCGAGCAGCUCUAAUCUUAGAGUGGGGAGGAGGACCCCUGUAAGUUUUAAGCCAGUCUAUUCCACACAUUGAGUCCCAGGACAGCCAGGGCUACAUUGAGAGAUCAUGAGUCAAACAACAACAAAAACAAACAUCAAACAAACAAACAGGGGGUAGCCCAAUGUAGGGCGAGAGAGAUCGCUCAGUGGUAAGAGUGCACAUUGCUCUUCCACAUAACCUGGGUUCAGCACCCACACAGCAACUCACAACUGUCCAGUUCCGGACAUCUUUGACAUCUCUUCUGCCCUCCAUGGGCAUCAAGCACACACAUGAUACACACACCUAAAUAUAGGAAAGCAAAUCACUCACAUUCAUAAAAUAAAAAUAGUAAUUUUUUAAAAAUAGGCAAUGUAAACGUUUGCCCGGUUACCACUGGCUCAGAGAGAAUACAAAUCAGUUAGGCUAACUAACUACACAGCAGAGAGCAGAAGGGGUCUGAAAACAAAACCUAAAGUCUUUCUGGUUUCUUUCUAAGACUGUGACAGUCUCCCUGUAUAUAGCCCAGGCUGGUCUGAAAUUCAUGAUCUUCCUGCCUCACCUUCCCCUGUAAUGGGAUCAAAGGCAUGUGUCAGCAAACAAGUCUAUAAAAUGGAUUCAGAAAUGUUUCUAAAGUAUACAAUUCUAAACGGUGGCAGAAAAUAAAAGGCAAAAAGUACCUAGUGUGGUGGCCAUGCCUUUAAUCCCAGCACUCAAGAGGCAGAGGGAGGUAGUUUGAAGCCAGCCUAGUCUAUAAAGUGAGUUCCAGGACAGCCAGGGAUGUUACACAAAGAAACCCUGUCUUGAAAAAACAAACAAACAAACAAGCAAACAGCAAAAAGGUAAAAACGCAGGCAGUGCUGGACACAAUCAAUUUCACAUCAGAUCAAGCAAAACCUUUUUAAAGAUGUAUUUUUUUUAUAUAUGAAGCACACUUCAGACACAUUAGAAGUGGGCAUCAGCUCCCAUUAAGGAUGGUUGUGAGCCACCAUGUAGUUCCUGGGAAUUGAACUCUGGAAGAGCAGUAGGUGCUCUUGACCACUGAGCCAUCUCUCUAGUCCCCAAUUUAUUUUUUUUUUAAGAUUUAUGUGUUUAUUAUAUAUAAGUACACUGUAGCUGUCUUCAGACACACCAGAAGAAGGCACUGGAUCCCAUUACAGAUGGCUGUGAGCCACUAUGUGGUUGCUGGGAAUUGAACUCAGGACCUCUGGAAGAGCAGUCUGUGCUCUUAACCACUGAGCCAUCUCUCCAGCCCCCUGCCCCCAAACAAUUUAUAAGCAACUGUUUUACAAAACAGAAUUAGGAAGCGAGGAAAAAGCUUGAGUUAACCUGAGCAGGACUUCCAAAACAGAUAAAGACUUUUAAACUUUCAACAAAAAGAGGCAUGGGGCCGCCAAGACAUGGGGUUCGCUGACCAGCAGCCAAGUGGACUCAAGGAUAUUAAGCCAAACAAGAAAUGCUGUCACAAAAUAGAACAAAGCAAAACAAAGGAUAAAACAGACCAAGGUGGGUUUCUAGUGUACAUGAAAUAUACACAUUAUUAUGCAUGUACACAUGCACAUAUGCAUCCCCAAAACUCCCAAAAUUAUAUAAUCCCUAAGUUUGCUACUAAAGAAACAUAAUAUCACAUGUGAUACACAUUACUGCCUAAACUGCAAUAUUCAAACUAAUGAAAUUUUAUUACUUUACUCUGAAUGCUGUCCAGUGAAAAGAAUUUUGAUUUGUACAGGUGCCCAUGUUCCUGCAAACAAUCCUAAUGAAACUCAUUAGGUUAUAAAAUAUUUUAAAAGAAAAGAAAAAAAUAACAUGAAAAUAGGGGGAAGGCUAGUUUGACAGAAGGGAUCAGAGGAAAUGGGAGAAGAGAAGAGACAAUAACAGGUGAAAAUAAUCAAAUAUAUAGUGUACAUGUAUUAAAAUGUCACAGUGAAGCCUACUGUGCAGUGAAUAUACGCCACUAAAAACAUUUUUCAGGAACUGCCAAUCAUAAUACCUUAGAUGCAGUUUGCUUUACGCUGAAGGGCCUAAGCUAUGAUCCUGCAUCUAAGGGGAAUAUGGGACACACACACACACAUUUCUGCUUAACUUUUCUCAUCUCGAUUCAAACAUUGUUUUUUUUUUCAAAGUUAUAAAAUUAAUGCAGCUGCUAUCAUAUUUUCAUCGUCUUAUGAGUAAUACUCUCCAACAUUAAUCUGCGUUGCUAAUGUACCAUUUUUCAAGUACUCUGUGAAGUUAAGGAUCACCAUAACAUUUUUUAAAAUGUGCAAUUCUACUAAUUUUGCAUUGAAGAUGUGUUACAGUUUUAGUAGGUAUGAAGCUGUGAAAACGAUUCCGUGAUUGGAAAGCUGUGAAGUGGAAAUGUCAGGGUCUUAGGAGAGUCAGUCAGCUGUGUUGGAUGGUGUCUGGCUGGAGCAAACACGUGAAGGAGUGAUGUCCUGAAGGGGACACAGGUGAAGGGCUAAGGCAGACUCAUGAAGGAAUGUUUCACUGAAGCAGACACAGGUGAAAGAUGUUCUGCUAAAGCGAGCACGUGAAGGACACGUGACGAAGGAGUCUUUGCUAAUGACGUGCAUGUAUUGGUCCGAUUUACAUUUCGUAGUUGCGUAGUUGAGCUGCAUUUGUCAGAACUCCAUAGAGAAAAACCAAAAAGCUUCUGGUGGUGAGCUGCAGUUUGUUGCAGCUUCUAAAGACUCGGGCUGAUUGGCAGAGUGAUGUCAUUUGAGACACACACGUGCUGAGGUGAGAGCCACGGAGGACAUGUGAUGUUUGGAGAACAUAAACAGGACUCGAGGGACCGUGGCUGUGGCUGGGUGUGGCUUGCUGAUAGAGCUAGCUGUACAAAGCUCCUGGAUCUCCUGUCUCCCCUGAUAUUUGCUUCCCUCAAAGAGGCACAGCCUGGAACUUCUCCUGGCGUUCUUCCAAGUCCUUCCUGUUAACCCAACAGGCUGAGGCCUGGCUUCCUGCUAGGUAGUGCCGCUGCUGCUGAUUCCUGUUUGCUCUCCCGACUCCACUGAACUGGACUUGCUAGUGUAUCCAUAAAGUGUUUAUAAUUGGAUCGAGCUGCUGCUGCUGACCUGUAAACUGAACUGCAGAUUUCCAGCGAUAUCCAGAUGACACAAAUAGAAGAUGCUCCAAAGAACGAAUCAACAGCUCCACUUCUCCUGCAUCCUUUCUUUCCCACUACCUCUGAGGUGGGUGGUGGGCUAGAAGGGAGGUUGAAACAUUUAAAAACCAUCAUUAAAAACAGGGUUUGAGGGGGUUGGGGAUUUAGCUCAGUGGUAGAGCACUUGCCUAGCAAGCUCAAGGCCCUGGGUUCGGUCCUCAGCUCUGGAGAAGAAAAAAAAAAAAAUUUCGGGCUGGAGAGAUGGUUCAGUGGUUAAGAGCACAGACUGCUCUUCCAGAGGUCCUGAGUUCAAUUCCCAGCAACCACAUGGUGACUCACAACCAUCUGUAAUGGGAUCUGAUGCCCUCUUCUGGUGUGUCUGAAGACAGCUACAGUGUACUUAUAUGUAAUAAAUGAAUAAAUCUUUUUAAAAAAAA